rnacentral:rRNA from 1 species
UACGGAGGGGGCUAGCGUUGUUCGGAAUUACUGGGCGUAAAGCGCACGUAGGCGGACCGGAAAGUCAGAGGUGAAAUCCCAGGGCUCAACCUUGGAACUGCCUUUGAAACUCCUGGUCUUGAGGUCGAGAGAGGUGAGUGGAAUUCCGAGUGUAGAGGUGAAAUUCGUAGAUAUUCGGAGGAACACCAGUGGCGAAGGCGGCUCACUGGCUCGAUACUGACGCUGAGGUGCGAAAGCGUGGGGAGCAAAC